AUACUAUAUAUAUAUAUAUAUAUAUAUAUAUAUAUAUAUACACAGGUAGAAAGGUGUGGGCAGCACAGCUGUCUGUACGGUGCGGUCGGAGUGCCAGCGGCUGAGGAGGCGAUCCACCUCCAACGAUAUAUAUGUUGAAAAAUCCACAGCACAUCCAAGUUGUAAAAAGUAAAAAACGACUUUAUUCACCAGACACGCGACGUUUCGAUCCACUCAAUGGGAUCUUUUUCA